CCAGAAUUAUGUUUUUGCACCGACGAAGAUCAGCCGAGUCUUCACGAGCGGUGGCAACAGCUGAUGAGGAACAUGUGUAGUUUCUUCUUCGUCUUCUGUGACCCAGCCAGACUGAUGCCGGUGCUCAUUUGCAUAAAAUUCAGCCCCCUUGUCUCCAAUUAAACAAGGAAAGCGUCUGGGGAAAAAAAACUAGUCCGGUUUGCACGUGGCCGGGGAUGAGCAGACGUCUCCUCUCUUCCCCACUAUCGACAUCUCUUCACAAAAUGUAUGCGAACCUACAAGUCCAAUUGGACAAGACGUAGACGUUGGCCCACACGAAGACUUCUUCGCACUGCAGAGAGAUGAGGCAGAAGAUGAAAAAGAAGAAGCGGAGGAGUGUGGGUGGAAGGAGGGAUGGAUAGAUGGAUGGAUGGAAGACUUUGCGGGAAGCGGCUGAACCCGGAGCAGGUGAACACAGCUGCGAAUCUCCGCGACGGGAUCUCGCUGGCUGCCUUCCUCGCGCCGGGGCCCCCCGGCGAUUGCGUUCAAGGGUCCCGGCGAGCCGACAGGGGCCAGGCAGAGUGGGCAGGCGAGGGCGGGCCCGAGCCAGGAGAGAUGCAGGUGAGGCGGGCGAGCCGAGGCGCCCGCCGCCGCCGGCUAGGAGCCUCCGCGCUGUCAAAUCAAUACAGAGGCUAGCAGAGGUUGGCCAGAACCGCCUGCAGGCCCCUUGGAGCCCUGGGACCGACCGCCAGUUCCCACCUCCAUCUUUUUUUUUUCCAACUUCCUUCAACAGUCCUGGGCCAGAGCCCUCACCCUUGCGCCCGGCCCACACACAGAUGUUUCGGUGUGGGCUCGGUCCGUAGGGAAUUUUUGAAACAUUGCCACUCAGAGGCGGGACUCAAGGGCGGAAAAAAGAAGAAGCAAAAAAUGUGGAGGACAAAAAGCAAGAGUUUCUUCUUGAUUCGCAAAGGUGGGGGGAGGAGGAUGAGCAGGACGCUCCAUCCGAGCCCAAUAUACCUUUAUCUCACAGGCUCGGAUGAAAGGACAACUUCUUCUCCAAUCUGCUGUAUUCUUUUAUUGCUUUAUAUUUCCUGAGCCGCACUAAGAGCAGCCGCCUUCAGAGGAUGUGGAAGUGCAGUAUUGAUCUGGAAGGUGGAGCGGAGGAAAAGAUGAGGGCUUUCACAGCUUCGUCUCCGCGUGGAAGCAGAAGUCAACUCCUCAUUGCUAAUGAAUGGCCCCUAAUGAGUCGACUUUUUCCCUCCCUCAUAUAAGACUUACCCUUUUUUUUUUUUAAACCCCUGUAAAAGAAAAAUCCAAAUGUGAAGACAAGUUGUGAGAUGAGACAUCGGUUCCUGAAAAGCUCAACACAGAGAGUUUCUGCUUUUUGGCUUGACAUGGACAGCACAGGGAUUGACUACGAUGGGGACCUCGCCGCAUCCAAGUGAGGGCAAUAUGGAGCAUGUGAAGAUGAAGCCACCAUUUGUCGCCGUGACGAUGUGAAGCUGCACUCUUGGACGGGAACACAUGCAACUAAGUGCAAUCUUUAUAUUUAUAUGAUUUUUUUUUUUUUAUAUGUCCACAUUUAGAUGUUACAAGUUUGAUAUGAUUGGUCUUUUUGGAUGUGACCACUUUAUAUUGAAGAAGUUUCUAAAAGGUAUGUUUAAGAAUACUAAAUGAUCAAAAAAAAAAUGUAUUUUUAGUACUGUAUCAUCAUUUAAUCAGAUUUUUUUAUUGUUAUAUUCUGAUUAUUUUGUCUAAUUAAAAGCAUGUAUUGCUAAAAUGUUACAAUUUGAUUUGUUGCCCUAGUUGAAAAGUUGUUUUUAAGAUAUGGCGACAUAUGGAAUUCAUUUGUUUUGCUCAGAAAAAGAAAAUACUUUUCUAUAUACAAUGAUCAUUUUUCCUCUCUUCAUUUGAUAAAAUUUGAUUUUUAAAUCCUAAAAACUAGGAUUACUUCUUUGGAAUGAUGUGAUU